rnacentral:lncRNA from 1 species
AAUUAAUCAAAUGGCCACCAGACUAUUUACAUUGACACCCCCCCUCCGCCCCCUUCCUUUUUGUACACUGCUGCUACUCGCUGUUUAUUAUCUAUACAUAGUCACUUCACCCCCACCUACAUGUACAAAUUACCUCAACUAGCCUGUACCCCGCACACUGACUCGGUACCGGAGCCCCCUGUAUAUAGCCUCGUUAUUGUUAUUCUUAUUGUGUUACUUUUUAUUAUUACUUUUUAUUUUAGUCUACUUGGUAAAUAUUUUCUUAACUCUUUCUUGAACUGCAUUGUUGGUUAAGGGCUUGUAAGUAAGCACAUGGUAAAGUCUACAUUUGUUGUAUUCGGAGCAUGUGACAAAUAACGUUUCAUUUGAUUUACUUUUACUCAAGUAUGAAAAUUGGGUACUUUUUCCACCACUGCUUGUUUCAUUGUAAAUAAGAAUCUGUUCUUAACUGACUUGCCUAGCUAAAAAAGGUUACAUAAAAACAUUUUUUUUAAAUCUAAAUAAAGGUGAACAAAAAAUAUUAAAUAAAUAUAAACAAAUACUGGGCUAUAUUGUAUGACCAUGUUUCUGUUGUUGUGUCACGUAUACUCCCUCUCCAGCCUCUAGGUCAUCAGGCUGCUGAUUAUCCUCCCUCUCUGACCUCUAGGUCAUCAGGCUGCUGAUUAUCCUCCCUCUCUGACCUCUAGGUCAUCAGGCUGCUGAUUAUACUCCCUCUCCUUCCUCUAGGUCAUCAGGCUGCUGAUUAUACUCCCUCUCCUUCCUCUAGGUCAUCAGACUGCUGAUUAUCCUCCCUCUCCAGCCUCUAGGUCAUCAGACUGCUGAUUAUCCUCCCUCUCUGACCUCUAGGUCAUCAGACUGCUGAUUAUACUCCCUCUCCAGCCUCUAGGUCAUCAGGCUGCUGAUUAUCCUCCCUCUCUGACCUCUAGGUCAUCAGACUGCUGAUUAUCCUCCCUCUCUGACCUCUAGGUCAUCAGACUGCUGAUUAUCCUCCCUCUCCUCCCUCUAGGUCAUCAGGCUGCUGAUUAUCGUCCCUCUCUGACCUCUAGGUCAUCAGGCUGCUGAUUAUCCUCCCUCUCCUUCCUCUAGGUCAUCAGACUGCUGAUUAUUCUCCCUCUCCAGCCUCUAGGUCAUCAGGCUGCUGAUUAUACUCCCUCUCCAGCCUCUAGGUCAUCAGACUGCUGAUUAUCCUCCCUCUCCAGCCUCUAGGUCAUCAGGAUGCUGAUUAUACUCCCUCUCCAGCCUCUAGGUCAUCAGGAUGCUGAUUAUACUCCCUCUCCGGCCUCUAGGUCAUCAGGCUGCUGAUUAUACUCCCUCUCCGGUCUCUAGGUCAUCAGGCUGCUGAUUAUCCUCCCUCUCCAGCCUCUAGGUCAUCAGGCUGCUGAUUAUCCUCCCUCUCUGACCUCUAGGUCAUCAGGCUGCUGAUUAUCCUCCCUCUCCUUCCUCUAGGUCAUCAGGCUGCUGAUUAUCCUCCCUCUCUGACCUCUAGGUCAUCAGGCUGCUGAUUAUCCUCCCUCUCUGACCUCUAGGUCAUCAGGCUGCUGAUUAUACUCCCUCUCCAGCCUCUAGGUCAUCAGGCUGCUGAUUAUCCUCCCUCUCUGACCUCUAGGUCAUCAGGCUACUGAUUAUUCUCCCUCUCCAGCCUCUAGGUCAUCAGGCGACACAUCUCCUUCGCAUAGAGUUGAUCAGGCUGUUGAUUGUGGCCUGUGGAAUGUUGUCCCACUCCUCUUCAAUGGCUGUGCGAAGUUGCUGGAUAUUGGUGGGAACUGGAACUCGCUGUCGUACACGUAGAUCCCAAACAUGCUCAAUGGGUAACAUUUUCAGCUUCCAGGAUUUGUGUACAGAUUCUUGUGACAUGGGGCCGUGCAUUUCCAUGCUGAAACAUGAGGUGAUGCAGCGGAUGAAUGGCCUGACAAUCGCCCUCAGGAUCUCAUCACGGUAUCUCGUGC